GGUUUGCCGGGAAGGGUGAAGGGAGGAAAGCGGAGCAGGGACGCUGCUCCCUCCCUUCCACGACCCGAGUGGGCGCGGAGUCCCGCGCCAGGACGGAUCCGACAGCGAUGCCUUCGGCAGGGCCGAGCCCCGCGAUGGAGGAGCACUUCUGGGACCCCGGGCCCGAGCAGCGCCGGGUCCCGCCGGGCCUCCCGAGCCCUGCCUGGCCCUGGCGCGGCCGCGUCCCCCGCGGAGUCCCCGCGUCCCGCCCGCCGUGCCGGUGGAGCUCUCCAGGGUGCUGAACCGCGCGGCCCCGCCGGGCCCGGCCGCCCCCAGCCCGUCCCGAGCCCCCGCCUCGCCUGUGGCCACCGGGCACGGCUGCCCCUUCCACCCUCCCCUGCCUCUCUGUUGCCUUCGUUCUCUCUCCCUCGAUAUUCCCCUCUCUGCUUUUCUUAUUAAUUUUCCCCCGCGUUUUCUCCUUUUUAUUCCUUCUUGUUUUUUUCCUUUAUAUUUUCCUAAUUUUCUGUAUUUCUCUGUUUUUCCGGUUUUUUCUCUGUUUGUCUCCUUUCUUUCUUCCCCCCCCUCCAAAUUUUCUUCUUUUUUUUCUUAUUUUUGUCCUCUUUCCCCCCGUUUUUCUCAUUUUGCUUUUAUUUUUUUUCGCUUUCUCUCCUCUUGUUCUUUUCCCGUUUUUUCUCAUUUCCUUUUUUAUUUUUCUCCUUUUCUUUUUUUCUCUUUCAAUUCUUCCUCUUUUUCUCUCUCGAUUCUUUCUCUCUUUCUCUCUUUCUUUCUCUCUCUCCCCACACCCUUCGCUGCUCUAUUUUUCGUUUCCCCCUCUCAUCACACACACAUUCCACACCGAUCUCUCUGUGCCUCUCUGUUUUUCUCUGCUCUCCCGUUUCCCUCCUCCCACAGAAAGCUGCGUUGGCCGGAAAGACUGGAAAUUUUGCGAAUACCACGACAUAAUUAUCAGAUGCUCAUCGGACCCCUCCACUCUCCCAGUGCCCCCCCAAUAGUUCAUCCCGGGCUGCGCUGCCCAGGACACCUCCAGCUCCGGCCCUGCCGCUGCGGGAAGAGCCAGAGGGAUCUCAGCGCGGCUUUUUUUUCGGUCUUACAGCCGCUGCGAUUAAAACCGAACCCCGGGAUGCCGGUGCCUGCCCACCCCGAGCGGUGACAGAGCAGUGCGGGGGGACCCUCACGGCUCAGCCCCACGCUGGGGGGGCCGAGAAAACCAAGUGGUGAGCCCCGAGUGUCACGGAGAGGAGACACUCGGACACUUGCACAAACGCUUCUGUCCCUGCACACACUCACCCUCCCUCCCCCAAAUUGCCCCUCCCGGGAGAGGAACCGGCUGGGGAGUCUCCACCAGGGCUGACCCGGCUCCCCCAGCCCUGACACCCCGGUGAAGGGCUUGGGGGUGUCCCCCUGCCUGCCUGCACAGCUCUUUGUCUGCCUCAUCCUCUGCUGCACACACGUAUCUCCCUUCCCUGCGUUCACCACCCAACCUGCACAUUCCCUGUGUUCCUUCAGGCGCGUCCACGGACCCUGCUGCACACACACGCUCCCCCUGCACACCCCAAAUCCUCAUCCCCCACACCCCCACGGCUGGGAAGCGCAUCCCUGUGACACGUUUCAUGCACACACUCAAAACCAGCCCUCGCACACGCACAUUCCCCCUGCAACACCCAUCUCGGUGGCCCUGCCUUCUCUGACGUACCCAGGCUCUGUGGGAGCCGACACCGUCCCUCAACCCCAUCUUUUUAUUCAAGGGGAUGAGAUUUUUCUCUCUGUGCAGGCCAGAGGAGAGAGCCCUUCCUGGGGUUACCUCGGGGCCGGGAGUGGGGCUGAGAGUUUUGCCUAGACCGCUCCAAUACCCGUUUCACAACCUGGGUGAGAAGCCGGGGCAGAAGCACCUCGUGCUGAGCAGGGAUGUGAUAAAACCUCCAUUGCCUCAGGGAAUGGGAAGACCGAAUGGGACCUCUCUAACCUCAUCAGCUGCCUAAUGUGCAGUUCUUGUGACAAUGCUUGGACUGUCACUGUCACCUGGGCACACGGCCACCUUGCUUUCUCUCUCCCCCAUCCCCAUUUCCUUCUGUUGACCUCACUAGAAAUGCACACCUGCCUCUCCUAACCAUGAUCAGGGCCACAAAAGCAGCCCCACCUGCUCCAACAAAGGCGGUUCCCAUUGGCACCUGGGUAUUUUUGGCUUUCCGGGGGUGUCCAGAAGAGAAGAUUGGCAGCAGGGUACUGUGGAGGGGCAAAGGGGAGCAGAAUCUUUGGGGACUUGAGAAGCUGUUGGUUUCUUUCAUUUAUUUUUUUUUUUCCCCUCGUGAUUCUUUUUUUUUUUUUUCCCUUUUGGAGCAGGAAAAAUAACCAGUGUGGGGGAAUUUAGGUUUAGCUUUUCCAUUGGAAGCAACUCCUUGCAGGGGGAGGUGGGGACGGCCAAGGGCCAGCCUGGAAGGGCCCCUCAAGCUCAGCUGGUGUGUGGGAUGGAGCCCUGACCAUGCUCUGCAGGACUGAGGCGCUUCCAAGGAGACCUCCAUCCAUCCAGGCCUUGCUUUAGUUCCCCCUCUGGUGAUGACAGUCCUUUGGAGCACUCCCUAGUGCUGGUAUCCACUAGAGAACCUUGGUGAGCACUGGAGACCUGAGGUACAUGGCUUAAAUCCUCUGUGCAACAUGCCAGCACCACACUGAGCCCCCUCAGCGGGAUCCAGGAACCUCACAGAGCCCUGGGAUCUGGUUAGCAAUGUUCCCUUUCCAAGUGAAGCUUGUUGGGCUCUUUCCUCCCUGUCUGUUUUCCAGCACAGCCAACCAGACUAUCAAAACAGAGCCGAGUCCUAUUUGAAAUUCAGAGGGCACCAUCAGUCCAUGUCAUUGGCAGGGAAUAAAUAAAUACCUCUUUUGAAGGCGUCAGGAGUGAUGUGUUGCUGGGCUCAUUCAAGGUCACAUCCGUAAACAUGUGGUGGAGGCAGGGAGCAAAUCCAAACUGGAUUCAAUCCAAACUGGAUUCAAUCUCGGCCACCGCUUUCCUGUGGGACAAAAAUCCCCCCUCCCCACGGGAGCCCCCCCCAAACGUGAGGGGAGAUGGAGGUGCUGGGUGUGUGUCACCUCUGCUCAUGGCCUUGGUGGGGGUGGCUGAAUGGGCCUGGGGGUGAGUGGGAAGGGCCACUGUGGCACUGGGCAGGGAGGAUGAGUUUCUGGGGGGAGGUCUGAUGAUGUGACAUGAUAUGCAACAUCCAGCAAGUGAUGUUUUCUAUAGGAGUGUCAUAUCCUGGUCUGGAGGCCGCCUCAGCACUCCUGGUACCUGAUGGGAUUCAACGUGACCGGAGGAUUUUGGUUUGUCUGCAUCUGGAACAAACUUCCCUGGGGAAGGAGCUCUGUUCCUGACAUGGCAGGUAAAGCCCAGGCAGUUCUGUGGGUGGCCCAACCUCUUGUCCACACACAAUUCACCUUCUCCAGGCACUGUGCAGACCCUGGGCAGCCCCCUUGCCCUCUUGGCUGUAAAGCUAUUCCAGGGCUGUUCUAGUCUCCACACUCCCUUUCACCACUCUAUCUGCAACCAAAGAGGGAGAAGUCAACAAAACCCCACCAACCCAGAGCCCCUUCCUCCCACACCAAGGCUCGGACCCCAAGUCUGAGGCUGCUCAGCUCUGUCUCGGUGGCACUCCUCACCCUUUGACAAAUCCUGGCAUUUGCAAAGUUAUUAUACCUCAUUAUGAAUUGGAUUUUAAUCUAGUGUAAAUAGUCCUACCAUUAUAGUGUCAUAAGAAGCAAUUAGCCCCCCUGCUUGCUUCUAUGCAUGAGGGGAAAGCUUUAAUAUCACGGAGCUGUGAGGGCUUGAUGGGGCUUCAGCCUACAUACGUACAUACAGGCAAAGGCUUUGCUCUCCUGGCAUUAAUCUGUCCGGCCUGUGCCCCAGAUGUCCCCUCUGUGUCCUCAGGAGGUCUCCAAAGUGAACAUCUCCUGAGCUGCGGGGUGGAUUUUGGCCUGGGAUCUCUGCCUCUCCGUGGGCGCGCUUGGCAGCACCGCUGGAAAUCUUCUUCCAGAGGAUGGAUGUGGUUCAAGCAGAUGAUAAAUCGUGGUUUCCUCGCCUUGCCCUUAACCCAGUCACAAAGGGGAUUAUCAUCCGCAGGGUGAGAGGCGUCUGGAGUCCAGUCCCUGCCUUGCCUCGGGGUGAUUAUUUCCAAUCUCAGCGAAGCUCUUUCCUCCUUUGCCUCGUGGAGGAAAUUCAUUAUCUGGAGCUGGAGCGCUCGCACAGCUACAAACCAAUCCCACCUUCUCCGUGCCUGUGUCACCUGGAGCCGGGCCGGGGGAGCUGGUGAGAGCCUGGGCACUCACACGUCAGGGUUGUCCCCACUGGGCAAUGUUGCAUGAUUAAUAACAACCCCAGGUUAAUGGGGUUUUAAUGUUCCUCCAGCAGCAGAGGGAGGGGGUGGUGUCCUCAGCUCCGAGCAGGGGCUUUGAUCUUUGUUUUAGGGAGGGAUCGAGGUGUCUUUGUGCUUGGUGCUGGCUGUGUGUCCGUGGACACCAUGGCAUGUGAGGGUUGAAGGGGACAGGCAGAGCCAGAUGUGCUCCAGGGUUGGGAACUGGAGUGUUCAUGGUGUGGGGGUGUGAUGGACACAAGUGUUAAAUACUGUCCCCAGUGAUCUCAUGGGGAUCCCAGUGCACAGUGGGGGCUGCACAGACCAUGGCACAGCAGCAGGGCCCAUCCUUAUGCCAUUUCCAGAAAAGAGGGGCUCCCUGCACUGUGGAUUCAGCAGGGAAAAGGCUUUCUGAAUUCUUCCAAGGAGGGGACAGACCCACUUUGUGCAUGAAGGGGCAUCAGGGCUGGGAAAAGGGGCCUGUGGUCCAUCCCUCUGUACCCCUGGGGUCCUGGUCACAGACUGUGUCGUGGUCCCUAUUCCUGAGAACAGUCCUGCAGGAACUUGCUUGCAGGGGAUGGACACAGAAAAAUACACCCCCUUCCCCACCCUUUCUUUGCCACAAGAAAGAAAAGCUGGCUGCCUGUUAAUUACAUGAACCUUCUCAUGGGCAAUUGAGCUGGCUGUGUGUGUGUAUUCACGCUGCCUGUGAGUUCUUGUCUGGUUUGUGCUCACAGGUGACUGAAGUGAAGCCAAAUUUUGCAACAAAGCAGGGCACUGCUGGCCGUGUCCAGCUGCACCCAGGCCCUGUCCACACAGCAAGGCAGCAUCUCUUUCUCCCAGGGCAGAAAUAGUACCACCUCUAUCCCAAACUCAUUUUUUUUUGUCCUGUGGUGACUUGUCCCCAUGGUCAAGAUGUUACAGAGCCCCAGAGCUGUUGGCAUCCCUCUGCUUGUUACUUCCUCUCCCUAAACUUUGGUAAGGGAGGGUCCUUCAGACUGAGCUUGAGCAGAAGGACAUGGUCCUUCCCUGGUGAGGAUGUGGCCCCUUCCCCUUACUGUAGGUGAAGGAGGCUGGUGCUUUGGGAAGGGGAUGGAUUAUAAUGUCAAGGGGGGGGUAAGAAAGAGGGUACUUGGUGUGAGGAUCCUGCUGCUGCUCCACAUUUGGAGUGGAUCUAUGGAUGGAGCCCAGCAACGAGCCACUGUGCUGGCUGGGGACUGUCCUCUGGUGGCAGUGCCAGCUUUGGGACUGUCCUAUGUGCACAGAGGAGGAGCUGGAAGCCCAGGGAGAUGCUGGUUCCUGGCUCUGUGGGAUGUGCGUUUGAGAUGCUCCUCAAGGACCUUUCCCUCUCGCUGGAGCUUACUGGGAAUGUUGGCCAACAGGGCACCCAAAUCCCUCCUGCACACUUCCACAGGGCACAGGUAAGAGUGCUGGCCACCUCUGUGUGUCUGUCCUGGCACCAUUUCGGCCCGUGCCAACCAGCACCCUCCCAGUCAGUGUCUGGAAAGAGAUGAGGGUCAGCCCAGGACACAUGAAGGGAUGUGCCACAGACUUCCAGGACUCUGCAGCUCGUCUCCUUCCUGCCAGAUUGACUCCAACCUCUCCAGUGCUGAGUUUCCAGGCCUUCAUUUCCAGCACUCAUUGCUAUUCAUCAGUGCAUCUGAAUAUUUUAAUCCUUGGGGAGUGGGGACUGUAGAACAGCAUCCCCCCCCUCUCCCAGCCACCUUCCCUUGCUUAUCUGCUGCAACCAGGGCCAAACUGUUCCCAGGCCUCGGUGGGUGAGACAAAUCGUGGAAGAAGCUUAAAGCAAGACCAGCAUCUCCCACCUUGUGCUUGGAGGGGGCUGGGGAAGAAGAGGAGGGAGGGGGUGAGGGAAGCAGCUUGUAAUUACAGAGUAAGAGGCAGCGAUAAAAUGAUAAUGGAAGAGUUCUGACCCGGCUGAGCCAGUUCUGCAAAGCUGUGAAAUAAAUUUAGCAAAAGAGCGAGGGCACGGGGGCUCCCAGGCUGGGUUACAGCUGAAAUGCUGGUUUCACAAACAACACGUAAAUUGGAUUGCAAACAUCUAAUUAACCUCUUUGCUUAUUUUUUGGUGGGAAAGGCGACAGAUUCCAGCGAAAGCUGACACUGUGGUGAGAUAUCCCUUUGCAGGAGAGAAUCUGGAGGAGAGGAGAGGAAAGUGAUUCAGUGAUUUCACCUGCUGGCUCCCUCCUUGCUGCCCAGGCACCAGGGAGAGGAAAAUCUCAAGCUCUUCUGGCUCCCCUGCCUUGUGGUAGAAGCUGUGUGUGAUGUCUGUGAAAACACAGAGGAGAAGGUGCUGAUGGAGCUUCUUCCCGUGUUUCUUUGUUCUUCAUCUCACUUGGAGUUCCCCACUUCCAGGGGGACAGGGAUAGGGAUCUCCCAUGGCCUGAGCUGGCUCUCCUUGGCUGCUGCUCUGCUCUGUGCCAGGGCUACUGACUCUUUUGGAUUUGACCCAACCUCUUUGGAGAGCAGAGGUUUAAUAUGAACACCCAGUUGUGUGGUCCCUGAGGAUGUGCAGUACUAACCUGGAGGAAGGUCAUCACAGGAGCCCAUGGAACCUUCAGCUCUUUCCCUUUCUGAAAUAUUGUGAAAACUCUUCAAGAAUUGGGCUUGGUCAAUGAAAAGUCGCUGCUGUGAGGAGUGAGAUCUCCUUACCCAGGUUUGAUCAAACCCCCCGGGAGGGACCAGGGCAGGACAGAGACCUUUCCUUCACCACUGAUCCCUCAGAGCAGACAACAGCUCUGUGCAAGGUGACAGCAGAGGGAAUGUGCCUGGGCAGAGGGUCCUGUGGAAGGUGGGGAGAUGCCUUGGUUGUGCUCUGUGCCAGCAGGAUUGGGGCACCACAAGGAUGAGGCUGGAUGCACGUGCUGUGUUCUGUCCAGGGAGGUUCUACUUUGCUGCCUCAGAAAUGAGGGAAGCAGACGGUCACGUCACGUGGGAGCAAGCAGGAAAGCAAGAAACAGCCUGGUCUGGGAUAAAAGUGGCUCUGCUGGAGCAACUUUUCCACGGGGGAUGCUGCUUUCCAACCUCUGGAUGGGAAGGUGAUGUUGCAGCUGCCAAAGAACUGCUUGGCCAUGGAGAGCUGCAGGCAGCUGCAAAGGGAAUUAAAUAAUAAUACCUUCUGGAGGCAAAACUGGCUGGAUUGAAUGGAGCAGCACCACCAUCCAGACAGACAAGGAAAGACCAGGAUAGGAGCUCAAAUGAGAAGGAGAUGCCUCCAUGACAACACUAACACAGACUUAACCCACAUGCAUGCCAAGCAGUGUUGUCCCUUCAUCCCUGGUGCCCUGGAUUUGAAGAGGGACGUCUGCACAGCCCAGAGCAUCAAAUUUCUUCUGGCCAAAAGUGUGGAGGACUUGGGCAAGCUGGAGCAGCCCAGCCACCCAGAUGGUCCGUGUGGCUGUGACACCAAAGCUGUGCAUGGGCAAGGACCUGCUCCACAUCUGCAGUGAAAAUCCCUGUGCACAGGUGACAGGAUUGAUGGAGGUGAGCAGGGUGAGGGAAGAAUUGUGUGGAUCAGGAGGAAAUGUUACUGGAGGUGUGUGGCUUUGCCAACCAGGGAGACAUGGAUGUGGGGAAGAAGCUCUGCUCUGAGGAUAGAGAAGGCAGGGGAGGUUUGUCAGAGAGGUUUGGAGCUGGGAACACAGCAGUGGGUGAAAUGAUGGGUGGGUGGGUGCUGGUGGUCACCCUGGGCAUCCUGCAGCACCUGGCAUGGUUGGACAGGGUCCACCCUUCGAGCUGGCCCAAGGGAGUGCUGUAAAAACAGUGG